rnacentral:rRNA from 1 species
CAGCACCUCAAGUGGUCAGGAUGAUUAUUGGGCCUAAAGCAUCCGUAGCCUGCUUUGUUAGUUUUCGGUUAAAUCCAUACGCUCAACGUAUGGGCUGCCGGGAAUACUGCAAAGCUAGGGAGUGGGAGAGGUAGACGGUACUCGGUAGGAAGGGGUAAAAUCCUUUGAUCUAUUGAUGACCACCUGUGGCGAAGGCGGUCUACCAGAACACGUCCGACGGUGAGGGAUGAAAGCUGGGGGAGCAAACCGGAUUAGAUACCCGAGUAGCC